UCAACAUUUUCACACAUGAAACACAUCAAAUCCAAAUACCAAUCAACAAUUUCAGAUGAACACCCUGGAUGCUUGCUUGAAGCUAGCAGUCACCACCUACAGUCCUAAUUACACAAAGCUGGCAGACUACAUGCAGUGCUAACCAUCUCAUUGGUAGUAAAAGAAGAAAAAGAACAAACCCCCGGACCCUCAAUAGCUAGGUUUACGGCUAUUCAUUCCAACGAGGAAUCCAUGUUUAGGCCCGUUCAAGAGAAAGAGGAUUCUCUAACCAUCGUGCUGACUGAGGAUAUACAGGAACAUGACAUAACAGUAACCAUUGUGCUUUUACAACCUGAAACUUCAUCACAUCAAAACAUUCAGGAGUCUUCAUCGUCCAGAACAUCUGUUGCAGAAAGAUGUAGCUCAAGCAAGACUCGUAAACCUCUUGCUGCUACCACAGAACAGAGAUGUAGGUCUCAUACCCCUUCUGCCAUAGCUGAUGAUAACCAGACUAGGUCAACUGUAACUGGUGAUCCCACUCAUGAACUGGGUUCACUCAAUACCAAGUACAAGUAAUAGUAGGAGCAGACGUGGCAGCAGGCCACGAUCCCCUUCUGCCUAAAAGAUGCAAAUCUUAUUCCAGAGGUGCUUCAUGUUCCUGUCACAAAUGAGGGACAGUUUGGUAGAGCUUGUUAAUUCUGUUCAGGAAAGUGCCACCAAAAUUUCAUCAAACAUGGUUAAACUUGUAGCUAACAACGAGUGCAUUGCAUCUGCACUGUAAAACAUUGCAAAAGCUGUGCAGUCAAAAAAUCCUACCCCAUGAUGCUGUGUUUAGGGUAUGGGUAUGUGUUGUUUACUUCUAGAAGUCCUUUACUUUUGAUCAAUGUGAUAAUAGCGUAUUUGAAAAGUCAUCAAACACUUAUUAAAUUUUUUUCUUUGAGUGAUUGUUAUGAAAGAAGACAGGGCAUGUUAAAUAAUUGUGUAACUUUCACCCUCUACUAGUCAUGAGAAUUUAACAUGAAUAUUAACCUCUCCAUAAGUGAGUUAAAAUCACAAAGUUAAGUGAAAGACACAAAAUUGUUAACUAAUAACAUGUGUUGCAGUGAUCCUACGGAUAAUGUUUACCCAGGUUUUGGGUAAAAGUUCAUACUGUAAUAAAAUGUAUAGCUUUAAAACCAGAGUCAUGUACUUACUUUAAUUUUUUUAAAGGUUCCUUUAUUUGGUAAUACGUAGUUAAUUUCCAGUUCAACCUGCUUUAGUGAUUAGUGAUUAUUUUAUGAUUAUGAAUCAAGUAGGUUGAAACUGAAAUAAUGUUGGAAGUUCACCAACAGACUACUGUAAUCACUGCUAUUUACCACACAUAUGAACUUCUCCAUAGAGCUCAGUUGUUGCAUUGGUUCUUUCUGAAGGAUGUGCAGCCUCAUGCUAAAUUGUAUAGCUUAACACGCCAAGAGUUUGCUAUUUUGUUUUCUUUAUUACAUAUAGUAGUACAGUAUUUGGUUAUAAGUUUAUUUUAAUAUAAGGGGAUUUAUGCAGGUACAGUCGAUUCAUGAGAGUUCCUUGAGUAAUUUUACAUAUGAAAAUUGUACUGUAUUCCAUUUUUAAAUCCUAAAAAUGGCAACAAUUUCCAGUACUGCAGUUGUAUUAAUUUUUCACAAGGAUGUGGUGACCCAUGUCAAAUUGUGUAGUUUAAGAAGCAAAUAGUUUUGAUAUUUUUUUAUUGUUUCAAGUUGUCAAAUAUGUUUUAUAUAAUGAUGUUUAGUAGUAUUAAAAGUACUGUAUACUGUAUUGGAUUCAAAUUUGCUCAAUGAUAUACUGUAGUACAUACUGUAUUUUCCUAUAUAAAAUGUUUAUCAUAUGAAGGUAAAAGAUAGCCAAUUAUGUUCUUUGUUUUCUAUAAAGAAAUUUAUUUUAUUAUGAACAGUAUAUUGAAAAUAAAAGUUAAGUCAAUGUA